rnacentral:rRNA from 1 species
GGGUUGUGAGGUUAAGCGACUAAGCGUACACGGUGGAUGCCCUGGCAGUCAGAGGCGAUGAAGGACGUGCUAAUCUGCGAAAAGCGUCGGUAAGGUGAUAUGAACCGUUACAGCCGGCGAUGUCCGAAUGGGGAAACCCAGUGCAAUUCGUUGCACUAUCGUUAACUGAAUACAUAGGUUAACGAGGCGAACCGGGGGAACUGAAACAUCUAAGUACCCCGAGGAAAAGAAAUCAACCGAGAUUCCCCCAGUAGCGGCGAGCGAACGGGGAGCAGCCCAGAGUCUGA